rnacentral:lncRNA from 1 species
CCUGACUCCACAACGUUCAAGAGAAUCACUCACACACACACACACACACACACACACACACACACACACACACACACACAAGCUAUUUACUACCUAAGCUAAACCAAAGAGAAUGCUGCAGGCCCAAAUAUUCAUAUUGUGCUGGAAUUCAUAAAUAACUAAAAAUCUUUGAUUCUCUUCUAUUUUCUCCAAAAGGGAAACAGUUUUAACACAUGGGAUUAGGUUCACAAAAGAUUUUCUUUAUUUCCUCCUGCUCAUGCUUAACUCACUGUUAGGUCACAGAAGGAAAAAAUCAAACUGGUAAUAAAAUCUCUCAUUUUAUCACCAAGAAGUUCAAAUUGGCAUACAGUUUGGAAAAAUGAAAGCAUGUUUUAAAAUCCUAUGAUUACAUGUUAAAUAAAUUAUAGUUUAGAAGGAGAUUCCUGUGGGUAUAUUUGCUAGUACAUAAGAGAAUGCUUUUGUGCAUAGAGAUUUAAUUACACAUAUGGAAUCAAAAUGUAGAAUUGAACAACCUUUCAGAAAAUGUUAAAACGAUGCUUUAGGCUAAAAGAAACUGAAAUUCUGCAUUUAUAUGACUGUAACCCUUCAAGAUUCUUGAACAUAAAUAGUUCAAAUAAAGUAUUUUAUAACUCAAUUAAAAUGACAAUAAUGGCUUUUUCAGGCCCCCGCAGCCGAUAUAACUUUAAACUAUUGCCAUGUAUAAAUGUGUAAAGUUACCCCACAAUGAAGGUCUAUUUUCUUAACAGUUUUUAAAAUGAGUGGGAGUAAAAAUUGCACCUAUCCUCUUUUGAAACCAACUAAAAUAAAUUAAAAAGCAUUACUAUUAAGAAACACUAUUGGAUGACCACAGAAAAACAUUUAGGAAAGUAAUGUUACUAUAUUAUCUUUUAUGACAUUAACCAAUAUUAGGCAGAACAUAUUGGUACAUGUAAACAUAUUUUCAUUAAAAAUCAACAUAAAUAAUACAUAUACUCACAUCUAAACCAAAGUAGUUUAUUUUAUGCAUGGCUAGGCAGAUUAUACUUAAUAAAAUUGAGCUUUUGGCAUAAUUUAGAAAGCAAACAUGAAUGUAAUCCCAUAGGAUUUUCUAUUUUAAUGCAUAGGAAAGAGGCCUUUAGGGAUUUAUUUCACCAUUCUUCCCAAAUGAAUUCAGAAUAGACCUUACAAUGCAGAUAUAGUGAAACAGACAUACCUGUUAUGCUUUACGAGUUGAGGCAACUUUAAGAUUUUUCAUAAUAAAAUUACUUUGUAGAACCUAUUUUUAGCAUUACAAGAUAUAUAUUUUAAAUUACAUUUGGACAAACUCAUUCACAGCAUUUGUUGCCAUUGGGCAGUAAGUCACAUUACUGAUACAAGAAAUAAAUUUUCACUUUGAAAAAAAUCUGUUUCUGAAAAUACAAAAUUAGUUUUUACUUCUGAAAGUGUUUUUAUUGUUUUGCUUUUGCCAUUUCAUUUGCAUUGACAGGAUAGUAAUUGACCAAAUUGUUUGUUCCUUUCUCAUAGGAUGGUUAAAGAACAAGUCAAUUGCUUUGUUAAUAUUCACAUUUUGGAUAGUUGUAGCUUUUAUUCAGUAUUUCUCAGCCGAUUUUUACCAAAAACCACUUAACACAAAUACUUUUAAAAUUAUUUCUUUCUUUGAUACAGAACUCAGUACUAGAAAUGUGUAAAGAUGUGCAGAAAAAAAACAGCAUUCUUUUUUCUGGAAGCAUCUUCUUGUAAAUUGAAAUUAUAAAACUGAACAUAUGGUAAAACCUCAUGCCACUCAAAAAGUAUUUUGCAUAAUAAAAAUCCUUCAUUUUUUGUUAAUACUUGACACCCAGUAACCAUCUCCUAAAUACUUGCUUUUAAAUUAACCACUUAAUAUUUUCUUAUUUAAGAACUAUUUUUUAUUAGGCAAAGAAGAAUAACUUUGGUUUUAGAUUUCAUUGCUAAUUUUAGUAAACAUAGGCAUCACUAAAAUGUACAAAGUCCUAAAAGACAGUUUAAAGAUUAUGAAAAUAAGUUGCUACAUGCUAAGAAAACAUCAAAUAUCUGCAAAUUCUAAAAGUAGUUAAUAGCAUUAUAACACUACCAGUAUUAGAUAGCAUUUAUUUAAAUUUAGAUAAAAUACAUACAUUUUGCAAGUUUUUAUAUGUAAAUCACAAGCUGGCUAGUUUUUGUUCUAUCUUUAAUGAUAAAAUAACCACUUUUGAUUUUUUCCUCAGACUAAUUGGUGGAUGGAAUGUCUCAAUUUAAUUUUAAAAAUGAAGGUAUUGAUAAUAUUGCAACAGAGACAUAUAUGCCCUUUUUCUCAUCAGAAUUCUGCAAUUAUCAAGCCUACAAUUUUAACACUACAAAAGUAACUUAAAGCAAGGACCCUUAUAGUGAUAAGUAAUAAAUCUAAUUACCAUAUCCUUUGAAUAGAUGUAAUAUAAAUUUCAUUGCUCACUUAAAAGUUCUAAAGUUAACAGCAUAAACUUGAAGUUGAGUAAUUAAGUAAUCCUUAUAUAGACACUUAUUAAAGUAUUUAUACAUAUUAUCUUAAAUCUACAUCUAUCAUUUUGCCAAUUAAAAUUAGGACUUUAAUUGCAAUUAAGUAAUUUAAUUGCCAAUUGAACAGCAAAAUUGCUAAGUGACUAAUUUUAAUGCCUAUUUUAAUUACCAAUCAUGACUGGGGAGGGAGCUAAUCAAGUUACAUCAAGCAGCACCAGAGUAAUGAUGUGAAAAAAAAAAAAAGGGUAGAACAAACAUUCAAGGCUACAUGCUUCAAAAAAAGAAACAUAAAUUAAAUAAAUGCAAACACAAUCCUAUAAAUGUAUAAAAUACUGUAUUUCAAUAUCUCAAUACAGAACAUGAAAGGAAACAAGAUUAAUUAAAGAAACCCCUGUCAAUCUUCAAAGUAAGGACAACCAAAGUCAAAUUUUAUAUGGUAUUUACAUGGCACCCAUGCUAACCCAGAUAAAAACAAAAGCUGUAUACAGUCGAGAAUAAAAGGCUGUUUCCUGCUUGGCUGGUUAAAUAUUUACAGACUGGCAGUUAAAAAAAAUUCUUAAAUGAAAUACCAUAAAACAGAGAAACAAGUUUCCAAAUGCAACAACGUGGAUUUUGCAUUUGAAAAGCCAACAGGGCAAGUGCAAUGGGGCACUAUACUCUUUCCUGGUUGUUCCUCUCAGCCACACUCACUUGAAUGAAGAGUUCUAUGAGAGGCCUAAUGCCUAUCCAUAGCUGUCCCAUGUUACCCUGAGAAAAACAGACACCUGGCCAAUCUUAAAUAUUUUAAAUUUAUUCGGGAGUAAAAAUAAGAAAGCGGCUAGGAUUACAUCACAGUUAAAAUUAUUUGGCAUGGGGAAUAUACCUAAUUCAAUAGUCAUUCUUCAUUCAGUUAGAAUAAACAUGCCCACUCAAGAUAAAGGCUGAAAACCAGCAGGCAACCAGAAACACUGGUGAAAUUUUUCUUGGACAACACAAACAUAUUUUCAAAAGUUUUCAUAUUCAGACUAAUUCUCAGAUUAGCAAUAUGGAGGGGCACUAUUGAAAGGAGGAGGUGAAGUUGAGAACUCAAAAAAUAGAAAGUGAUUCCCUGUAGAUAGUAACAAUUCUAGUACUUUCUGACUGUAGGGUUUCCCUUGGCAGCCAGCCACCUCAUUUAGAGUAACAAUGGACAUCCAUCAAAUCUUCAUUUAAAAUAAAAGUCAUGCUGCAAGAUACAUAUUUUAUUUUUGUUGCCAUAUAUAUAUACCAAAAAUAUACCUACUUAUGUCUACAAAAGGGCCCAAGAUUAUUAAUGAAAUAUAUGUAAGCCUAUAACUUGAGGAACAGCAAAUCGUGCGGCUUGGGAUUUUAUUUACUAAUGGACUUCAAUUGUGAAAUGAAGCACAGCAGGACUUUCGGCCUGGCUUUUGAAGAAGGAACACUUUAAUAAUCACUGGGCCUGACAAGACUGCAAUAUCUGUUCAUGACAAUAACAGCUUUAUAAAGCAAGUUCUGUGUGACUGAUUAAAGGACACACUCACCGCCUAUUCACAAGUCAUGGAGAUGGAGUCAUUAUUGACAAGCUCACCAUCACUACUGAUCACAUUUAAGACACAUCGAGUGCUGGUGCUACAAAGAGAAAUAAAACCUCAGCCAUUAAAAGAUUUAAAAAACAGCCCCAGAAGACAAGAUUGCCAUAACUUAUGUAUAUCUUAAUGUGUUCUGUAUAAGAUUUUCUCCUAUAUACACACACAAAGGAUCUUAUUUGAUAAUAAUUAUCAAAAUUAUCGAACUAAAGCACUAGGUAACAAAUCAGCCACUACAAAGGAAAAAAAAAAGGAGAAGCAUCGUCUUAUAAUUUCACAAUAAUUAUGAAAGGACAUGAUAUAUAGACAAACUUUCAAAAUGUUAACACUUUCCGAAACUUGACAUGACUGAAAGUAAAUACUUUUUCAGACUGUUCAUGUCUAUCUUAGGCAUUCUGCUAGUCAUUAGUUUACAUGAAUUAAUGUUUACAUAGUGCCAGAAGCAAAAAGUUUUAAAAGUAUGUCUCUACCUUUCAGAUAUCCCUUAGUAGGUAAAAGUAAACAUAAAGUUUAGAAAUUCUAGUAAGUUAUUUUACUUUUUGCCCUUAAAGUAUUGUCUUCCCGUGUGAUCUAUCUGUAUUAGUGAAUAGAAAAUAAAGGAUACAGUAAGACAACCACGUUUAUAAUCUGAAAUUAAAGGCAAUCAAUUAAAACAUUUUAUUAGUCACCAGGAUAUUUAAAAAUGAGACCUGUGAAAUAUUGCAGAAUCACUCCACUAGGAGAGAAGCAGCAACUUAAGUAUGCUGUCACUGACAUGUUGGGAGGAAAAAGCAAACUACCAGUACCACCAUGUACAUGAUUCAAAUUAAGCUACAUAAAUAGUGAGUGCAUGGGGUUGUGGGUACAGAAACUGGUUCGCUGAGGAGGUGCUACUUACAUUUCCUGUAUUUCAUAUUUCUGAGAACUGUCUUCUGUAAUUUCCAAAGUGUAGGAAUGGUUGAAGUUUGAAAAUAAAUGGAGAAUUUCAAAUAGUUAAUGAAUAGAUUUAGGAGCUAUACUGAAACAACUAGCAGAAAAUACAUUUUCUGGAGUUCUUUAAUUUUGUACGCUUAAAAGUAUGGUGUUCCUAAAGAUGGCUAAUUCUUGUUGAAGUAAGUAGCUCUGGAAGUCAUAUUUUCCAUUUCUCCAUACUUCAUCUAUUAAUCAGUUGACUGGCAAUUUCCGACACCAGUUUUGCUAAACUUUAUAAAUUUUGCUUCCUCCAGAGGUAGGAGGGGGAAGGAGAUGGGCAAUACAGAAACAGAUUUUACAGCCAGAAUAUGACAGGGCCCCUUAAACUACAAAUAGAUGUAGAAUUUUAAAUGUAGCUCUGUAGUUCAAUUUAUACCACAGAAAUUGCGAGAUGCUAUCUUCCUGUUGUUAUAACGUAUCAGGUCAAGGGAUAUAAAUUGUACCAGGUAAUUCAUUUUGCUGUUCAGAGAGUCAUUAAGUUCCUCCCAGAAUAUAUGUGAUUGAUAUCCCUGGAGGUGAAAGGCUAAAGGAACCAUAUGGCAACAUGUUGCAUUCCGUAUGCUAUCUGCCCAUCCGUGCUUAAGCUGUCAUUAGCAACAUCUGUACCUUACGGAAAUCCAGCUGCGCCGACGACGGCUGACGGAAUUGUACUUGGGGGGAAAAUCUAGCUUAGCGCCAUUAACUUGAGACUUAGAGUCUAUCUACCAGGACGGAUGGAAGCUUUCACAAUUAGACGAGACGACACGAAUGCUUUAUUAAAGUUUAAUUUUGAACUCCCAAUUAGCGAAAGUGCAUUACAAAUCGAUUGCAAUUUCCUAGAAGGUGCAGCAAGUUCUCUGCCUGCCUGCCACGUGCGAGACGCUCCACAGCGAGCUUCCCCAGCUCCGGGCAGCAGAAAGGGGAUGGUUCAGAGCCGAUCUCCGCAUCCCAGGAAGUCCCUAAAAUCCGCGCCAGCCCCUCCUCCCGCAGGGCGGGGGCGUCCACGGCGCGAACCCGCCAGAGGUGUAGGGGGAAGUGUGGGGGGCUGGUCCGCAGCCUUCGAGGGGUGGGGCGACAGGAGCGAGCGGCCGGGGGAGGAGAAAAAGGCGGGCGGCGGGAGAGGGGGCCUCUAUUAUCUCGGCUUCUCGGGAGGAGCCUCAUCUAGUCAGUCACGCAGAAGUUUCUCUUUCGCUCUUCGCGCUACACACCCAGAUUGGCUUCCAGCGCGCAGGUAAAACCUGGCUGUGCCCUGUUGAAAUCAAUUCUGUUGCAGUCAUAUGCGGUGGAAUCUGUUCUUCUUUUGCAUCCUACGUAACCAGACCAAGCUGUGGGCUUCUCAAGGUAGCCUCCAGGAUGCACAGAGUGAGAGAGGAUGCUUUUCCCUAAACCAGGAACAAAAUUCCAGCCCUAAGGAGAUUGGACCACUCCCGACCAAUGAGUUUGGCCAGGGAGGUCAUGCACUGAUUGGCUCAGCCCUGGAUCAGUCUACUUCUCAACCAAUCAAGGUGCUAAGGAAACAGGAUUACCCUAAACGAUUUAACACACCGGGACUCAUUCCUGAAGCUGGAGAUGCUGUAACACAAUCAAAACUGUAAGGCUUAAAAGAAUUAAAGUAGGAAUUGCCGCAAUUCCCUUCCUAGACUUAUUCCCAAAUAUACUUACUAUGGACUACCUGCAUACAGCAGCCCCUUCACAUAUUUUUACUGCCUGUCAUAAAGUAGUCUGGGUUACAUUUAAAGAAGCUGCCAGCACUUAAUGCAUAGAAGUACUAAAAAUUUGUUACUGAUGUUUGAAAAAUAUAGAAAAUUAGAAGCGGAAUGGCUGAGUGUAGUGGCUUACACCUGCAGUCCCUACAUGUUAGGAGGCCAAGGCAGGAAGACUGCUUGAGGCCAGGAGUUUGAGACUUGGGCAGCAUAGCAAGGCUUUGUCUCUACGAAAAAUUGAAUAAAUGGAUAAAUAAUAAAAGAAAAGGAAAGAAUAAAGAAAAUUAGAAGGGGAAGAAGCCUCUUAUCCCACCAGAGAGUGUAAAUGAUUAUUAAAAUUUAAUGUAGCUCUCCCUCUCCCUCUCCCUCUCCCUCUCCCUCUCCCGCUCCGUCUCCCUCUCCGUCUCCCUCUCCCUCCACGGUCUCCCUCUGAUGCUGAGCCAAAGCUGGACGGUACUGCUGCCAUCUCGGCUCACUGCAACCUCCCUGCCUGAUUCUCCUGCCUCAGCCUGCCGAGUGCCUGCGAUUGCAGGCACGCGCCGCCACGCCUGACUGGUUUUCGUUUUUUUUUGGUGGAGACGGGGUUUCGCUGUGUUGGCCGGGCUGGUCUCCAGCUCCUAACCGCGAGUGAUCCGCCAGCCUCGGCCUCCCGAGGUGCCGGGAUUGCAGAUGGAGUCUCGUUCACUCAGUGCUCAAUGGUGCCCAGGCUGGAGUGCAGUGGUGUGAUCUCAGCUCAGUACAACCUACACCUCCCAGCCGCCUGCCUUGGCCUCCCAAAGAGCCGAGAUUGCAGCCUCUGCCCGGCCGCCACCCCGUCUGGAAAGUGAGGAGCGUCUCUGCCUGGCCGCCCAUCGUCUGGGAUAUGAGGAGCCCCUCUGCCUGGCUGCCCAGUCUGGAAAGUGAGGAGCGUCUCUGCCCGGCCGCCAUCCCAUCUAGGAAGCGAGGAGCGCCUCUUCCCCGCCACCAUCCCAUCUAGGAAGUGAGGAGCGUCUCUGCCCGGCCGCCCAUCGUCUGAGAUGUGGGGAGCACCUCUGCCCCACUGCCCUGUCUGGGAUGUGAGGAGCGCCUCUGCUGGGCCGCAACCCUGUCUGGGAGGUGAGGAGCGUCUCUGCCCGGCUGCUCCGUCUGAGAAGUGAGGAAACCCUCUGCCUGGCAACCGCCCCGUCUGAGAAGUGAGGAGCCCCUCCGUCCGGCAACCACCCCGGCUGGGAAGUGAGGAGCGUCUCCGCCCGGCAGCCACCCCGUCCGGGAGGGAGGU